AGGCCCACGCAUCUUCCCCAUCUCAUCGACGGCAAUCGGGCGUACACGUUAAUAGUUAACGGCAACAGAGCAGAGUUGUCGUGGCACCACGACCUAGACACCUGGCACGUUCUGAGCGCCCUCCAACCCGGGCACCCCGGAUCAGCUGACUCACCAUGGGAAACUAUAUAUGUGGUACACUGAGGAAGAAGAAAAAUAAAGAUGGAGAUGACAGUGAUGAUCAGAGCAGCCCAGACACAGAAAAGAAGGAAGAGGAUGUGACAUACGCCACCAUUGACCAUAGCAACACCAAGACAACAGGUGUCAUAAUAGAUUCUCACACUAACGACUGUGACUACGCCAUUGUUAAACCUCCAACUUGCCUCGCCCACCAGUCGUUAAUUAAAGAAGACUGUGCAGAUGACUAUGUCUUCAUGGGCUGACCUCAUGUACAAUGUGUGUGUGUGUGUGGGGGGGGACAUUUUGAAGGGGGACAAUGGAGAUGCAAGGUGGACAUAGGCCUGGGGCAAGCUGGACAGCACCUUCCUGGACCAAAAUACCCUAGAUGUGACUAUGAUAGCGCCCACAAAUGGAACUUUUCUUGAUGCAGUGUGGUUGCAGGAAUUAUGUGCUUCUAUAGUUAUGUUUAAUUAUGUUUUACAGUCACAUUAUGCUUAUGUUAAUGUUUACAUUUUUUUCCCUAAGAGAAACGGAUGCUUUAGUUCAAACUUUCUAUGUGGUUUAUUUGGCCUCUUGACAGAGGGAACAUACAGGCCAGAGAUUCAAAGGCUAUAGCUAUCAUACUGACCCCUGAGAUACAACUACCAACCACACCACACACACACCCUGGGAGAGAUGAGAUGUUUAUGGUUUGCGAUAGAAUUAUGUGUUUGAAUUUUAUGCAAAAUAUUUUCUUUGCACAAAUCUAUUUGAAUGAGAUACAGUAAGGUGAGAGCGGGAUUGGAGAUACUGUUGUUUUGUGAACCGGUCUUAGCUGUUUCUCAAAAUCACCAGGAACUGUUGUAUCCUAUCAAUGAUGGAUGCAAAGAUGGAUUAAAUCAACAUCGUUAGAACUUUUGUAUCCUUACAUUUAUAACAUCAAUGGCAACAAUCAACGGCAG
ensembl:lncRNA